AUUUAUAUUAACAAUCCACUUUUAAACGACAUCUUCACGCCGGUCAAAAUCGCGUAAAAAUGAGUGCGAUGGAAUAAACGGUUUUGAUUUCACGGGGCGCGUGUGCGCGAUCUCAUAAACGCAUACGUAAAAAUAGUAGCCGCGUAUUCGGAUCGGCCGGCAGAGUUUUCGGCUGCAUGGCGAAGAUUAUUUUAAACAUCCAGCGGCACGGAACAAGGAUGUGGUCGUCACGUGCGUUGCACAGAUUUUUUCUCACGCGACAUUUUUUUCCGAGCGUUGUGUGUCGGUGUUACAAUUUUUAAAGUUAGUAACUCAAAUCUCCCCUACGGCCACGAACACCCCUCGUGUUUACAAAAGUGUCAAGCCAGAACUGAAUCCAGUAUUCUCUGUAUAUCGCUAUCGAAUGUUAUACGAUGCCAGCUGGAUGCUGCCCGUUCCAUCGGCGGAUAUUGACCACCCUUCUCAUGUGUGUUUCACCUGAGCGACUCGGAAAUUGAAUAAAAUGAAAAAAGAAAACGAGAAAAAUAAAGCACUGAAAUUUCAAAACUACAUGAUCAGUGGCCAUAGAUGAUCGCCGGAUGAAACCAUAAACGCAUCGCUCAGCAGGCGGGUUAUAACGUACGCGCAGAACCAGACGAACGUACAAUUUAUGAUCACAUGCCAUGAGCAUGAACAACGACAAAUUACAGUUAUUAGAGCUAUCAGGCAACCGUGGAUUGUUACAAUCAGGCUUUCCACGUAUUGUACUUAUUUUCCAACCUCGAGAUCGGUUCGCUGAGUUUAUGCGGAACCGUUUUUAUUCAUAUUCAAAAUCGAAUCAUUGUGAAAAUAUCUGUUCUAUUGCACAGUAGGAAAAGAUUAUUUAAUUUCUCUUUCUGCUUCCAUUUCUUUACGAUUGCCGAGCCGCAGAAAGCACCUCAAAAGAGCUUAUUUCUCUGCCAAUAUUGAGUCACAGACCACCUCGGCAACUCGUGUGUUAUUUUAUCCUUAUACACCGAAAUUUUAUUACCCCAUAAGGAGAAGAAAAACAGGGCAUAAAAAAGAUGGAGGACAAGAAAACUUUAUGUAUAAAUAUGGGGUGGAGAAUUCAAAGAGGCACGCACACAUCUUUCAGUCUUUUUCCCCUCGACGUUUUGCGAAUGAUCUUUACAUCAUACCGAGCUUAAAAGUCUCCAAAAAUCAAAAUGAAACUCAAAAAAAAAAAAAAGAAAGGAAUGAGAAUAAUGAUAUUUACGUCAUCCUGUGCUUUGACUUUUUUUUUCGUGUAAAGCCGUUUAUAAUGAGAUACUUCGUAUGAGAUUUAGUCAGAUUGGAGCUAGUCAAGUUUCCGUUUCUGAAAAUUUUACUCGUACCAACAAAUUUGACUUGAGUUUUACAAUUGGAUCAUCAACGUGAUUUUCGGGGUACAAGGGGGUGUAUGUAAAAUUUGAGACGACGCUUAAAGGAUUUUCGCCUGAACUAAUUCUCCAAACUUAUAAAUUUCGAACUUUUGAACCCUGCACUUUGAUGUACUUCUAUUAUUUCGUGAUUAAAACUUUCGGCAUAAGAAUUCUUCCACGACCUCGAAGCUACCAAAAUUUACGACCACAGCUGGCUAUAGAGUAUGUGAAAUAUUUGAUAAAGCCAAACCCCGCGCUUUUCACUUUUUCAUCGUGUAUUAUACCUGGGCCGCAAUUUUUUUGGGGGUCGUUGAUUACGCUAUCGGCUGUGUAAAAAACAACAACAACAAAAAAUUGCUAUUGUACGGAAUGGUUAUUAACCUCGAACCGUAAUUAAGUUUAGCGAUUCCGAUGACGAUAACAUGAUGAAAAAAAAAAAAAAAAACGAAAAGAGAAAAGAAAUUCGGAAUAAAAUAUGAUAUACAUAUAAGUACGUGUCCUGCGGGAACGCGAGGUACCGUCGCAAUAGAGAAACUUUUGUAAACGAAAAUGGGAAUUUUUAAUUAUAUACCCCGAAAAUAUAUGGGCGCACUUUCUGGAUUAUGUAUACAUUUGUGUACCUACCUAUACUUCUUUGAUAGCACCGAGAAGCUUUAGCGGGUCGAAAUAAUCAAAUUAAAGAGCCAAAGAUGAAGUGGGGGUGAAAAAAAAGUUUGGACCUUAUAUUGCAGAGUGGCUUAAAGGGUAAGAUUUUGGAAAUUCGGGACGACGAACGAUUGUAUUUUUUCUAUGGGACUGUACGAGUAGACAGCAAUCAUGAUUAGAAAAUCAGUCCUACUAUGGAAUCAGCGAGUAUUCAAGUUUCAUUACAUUAAUUGGAUUAACGAUCGUGUAAAAUACAUCGGACGGCGUCACUCACCAUGUGAAAUUUAGUGGACUGGAGGCUGCGCAUAUUUACCGGUAAACGAAUAUCGGAAAUCGUCACCUCCGAGAGUCCGUUAUCGGGGAUAAAUUAAUUAGCCAGAUAACUCGGUGUUCGGGGGUGGGAGGAUAGUGGGAAAAUUAUUUCCGUACGAUAAAAAGUGCGCUUUAUCGUCCCGCAGAAUUAUUCGAACUGGCGUAUGUGCCCGAUAAUUUCCGGGCACGAACGCGCGUAGCGGUGACGAUGAACUUUGCAUAAUAUCUGGGAAUUAGGUGCGUAGACGCCUUGUUUCACAAAGUUAAAUUCCUUCACCCUGUCUAGUGCGAACGAACCCAUGGAGUAAUCGAUACCGUAUUCCAAGUUCUACGCGAUACAACACAUUGUACCAUUCCCUGUGUACGAUGUGUACAUACGUAUAUAUAUAUAUAUAUAAACCUAUAUAGAUCCGUACAUAAGUAUAUCCAAGCUGAAUUCAAUUCAAUUCCGUACCAAGGAUUUCGGUAAUAGAAAGGAACUCGAACUAUUCCGGGCACGCUGUGGUCCGUAGACAAAGGAAUUUCAAUAUAUGAAAAGAAGAAAAAGAAGCGGAAAAAAUUAAAUAAAGGACGUAUUUUUGGCCGGUAACUACGACCGGAGCUUUCGUAAAAGCACCGCGGUGUUCGUUAUCCGAGCCCCAAGGUUCUAGGUACGGAUCUUCCUCCGAUUCAUUAUUUGCCAAAGUUUAUAAGACAAAACAGGAGAGAAACGGACAAUUAAAAAAACGAAGGGGACGACGGAAGCUAACGAACACGGUGGGUCGAUCCCUUGAAGAAGGAAAUAAAUUCAUCAGCGAAAGUCUCUUUGUGCUUCCGUCUGCUGUCGAGAACUGACUUUCCACUCACGUUGCAGGCUGUGAUUUAUUCUCGGUUGCGUCGACGCGGUGCGAAGGCGGGUUUACGCGUACAUAAAUGUAUUGUUCGUCCAAAAAUUGGCAAGCUUCGCCCCCCGAGCUCUUUCGCGGUUGGUUCUUUCCGAAUGCAAUUUAUUUCAUUGUUAUAGACCUCGUUUCGCACGUAUAUUUCGAGUGGCUACUUAAUCAAAACGUUCCAUCGGUUUUUUUCCUCCUCUUUUUCAGCUUCUUUUUUCUUCGGUUCCAUAACUUGGCCAGUCUCGUAGUCACCGUCGAUACACAUGUACACCGUUUCUUCACCGGGUAAUAUACUUAUAGGUAUGUACUCUACUGGUCAAUGACUGCAGGCUUGUUCUUCAUAAAAUAAAAAAUAGACAUUCUAUUUUUACGUAUGAAAAAUAACCGACGAGAAGUGUAUACAUGUACCGCACGAUAAACACAUCUGUAUAAAAUGGACCCUGAUGCAGCGUUGAGGAAAAUAAUAGUCGUAGUUUCAGCGGACAGGUUUAAUUCAACGUCGUCAUGAUCAUACGGAUGUAGAAUUUGUUGGGAUUAUUUUAGGGGUAAAUUUUCCCAGGUGACGCGACUAAUUAACUAAUUAUGUACAA